rnacentral:rRNA from 1 species
UUUUCCUACGGGACGCGGCAGUGGGGAAUAUUGCACAAUGGGGGAAACCCUGAUGCAGCGACGCCGCGUGAAGGACGAAGUAUUUCGGUACGUAAACUUCUAUCAGCAGGGAAGAAAAUGACGGUACCUGACCAAGAAGCCCCGGCUAACUACGUGCCAGCAGCCGCGGUAAUACGUAGGGGGCAAGCGUUAUCCGGAUUUACUGGGUGUAAAGGGAGCGUAGACGGCCAUGCAAGUCUGAUGUGAAAACCCGGUGCUCAACCCCGGGACUGCAUUGGAAACUGUGCGGCUGGUGUGUCGGAGAC